AAUAAUUCCGACCUGAACCGCAACAGCGGACCCGCGGGUUCCGGAGAGGUGGUGGCGCCACUCUGGGCGAAAAUAGGAGGGAAUUCCGGCGGUCUCUCUUCCGGGGUUCAGCCCACCUUUACAAACCAGAGAGAGACACAGCGAGAGAACAAACACAAGCUGGAGGAGUGGGAGAGGGAGGAGCAGGCUUCCCGCGAAGGAGGGAGCCCGAUGCGGGGCUUGAUCCCAGAACCCUGGGAUCAUGACCUGAGCCGAAGGCAGACACUUAACAACUGAGCCACUCAGGCGCCCCAACAAUUUGAGACUUUUAAAGAAUAUGUUCAUUUCAUAUUUUAUUUAUUUAUUUGAGAGAGAGAAUGAGAGACAGAGAGCACGAGAGGGAAGAGGGUCACAGGGAGAAGCAGACCCCCCGCCGAGCAGGGAGCCCGAUGUAAGACUCGAUCCCGGGACUCCAGGAUCGCGACCUGAGCCAAAGGCAGUCGCUCAACCAACUGAGCCACCCAGGCGCCCUGCUAACUACCUUUUAAAUAAAAUUUUUAAAUAAAAUACUUAUUCUA